rnacentral:rRNA from 1 species
UACGUAGGGGGCUAGCGUUGUCCGGAUUUAUUGGGCGUAAAGAGCGUGUAGGCGGCCAGGUAGGUCCGGUGUGAAAACUCGAGGCUUAACCUCGAGAUGUCAUCGGAAACCAUCUGGCUAGAGUCCGGAAGAGGAGAGUGGAAUUCCUGGUGUAGCGGUGAAAUGCGCAGAUAUCAGGAAGAACACCAAUGGCGAAAGCAGCUCUCGUGGGACGGU